rnacentral:rRNA from 1 species
UACGGAGGGUGCAAGCGUUGCUCGGAAUUAUUGGGCGUAAAGCGCACGCAGGCGGCAAGGUAAGUCAGAUGUGAAACCCCCGGGCUUAACCUGGGAACUGCAUUUGAUACUGCCUGGCUUGAGUACGGAAGAGGGGGGCGGAAUUCCCAGUGUAGAGGUGAAAUUCGUAGAUAUUGGGAGGAACACCGGUGGCGAAAGCGGCUCCCUGGCCCGAUACUGACGCUCAUGUGCGAAAGCGUGGGGAGCAAACAGG